rnacentral:piRNA from 1 species
GAGAACAAAGCAUGAAGGAGACACAGA